rnacentral:rRNA from 1 species
CCUACGGGUGGCAGCAGUAGGGAAUAUUGCUCAAUGGGGGAAACCCUGAUGCAGCGACGCCGCGUGAGUGAUGAAGUAAUUAGUUAUGUAAAGCUCUAUUAGCAGGGAAGAAAAUGACGGUAUCUGAGUAAUAAGCACCGGCUAACUCCGUGCCAGCAGCCGCGGUAAUACGUAGGGGGCAAGCGUUACCCGGAUUUACUGGGCGUAAAGGGUGCGUAGGCGGGGGUGUAAGUCAGGAGUGAAAGGCGGGGGCUUAACUCCCGAACUGCUUUGGAAACUGUCAGUCUGGAGUGUGGGAGAGGUAGGUGGAAUUCCUGGUGUAGCGGUGAAAUGCGUAGAUAUCAGGAGGAACACCAAUUGCGAAGGCGACCUACUGGACUGUAACUGACGCUGAGGCUCGAAAGCGUGGGGAGCAAACAGGAUUAGAUACCCCUGUAGUC